rnacentral:lncRNA from 1 species
CCUUCUAAUGAGACCAAUCAUGGAAGCUUGCUUGACUUAUAGGAUUGCUGGAGGAACCAAAUAAGGCAAAACCAAGAUUCUUUGAAAGAAUAAAAUUUUGCCAGAAAAUUAAAGUGGGAAAGCAAGAUGGCAAAAGAAAGAGACUGAACAACAAUGAGAUGCAUUCCAAGUACUGGUCCUCCCCUUCAGUGUGCUUGCAUUACUGUAGCCUUAGCACCUGGCAAACUGCCUGAGUAAGUAUUUAAUAAAUAUUUAUGAAUUUAAUGAGUGAGA